GUCUACAUGGAAGAUAUAUGUAGUCUUACCUGCUCACUGAUUAAUUUUAAAGAGCCGCAGUAUUUUAACUGUGCAAAGGUAGCAUAAUAAUUAGUUUUUUAAUUGGAAGCUUGUAUGAAUGGUUGAACAAAGAAAUGGCUGUCUUAUUAAAAUAAUUGAAUUUAACUUUUAAGUGAAAAGGCUUAAAUAUUUUAGAGUGACGAUAAGACCCUAUAAAGGUUUAUAUAAAAAUUAAUAAAUAUAAAUUAUUUAUAUUAUUUUUGUUAAUUAAUUGUAUUUUAUUGGGGCGAUAAGUAAAUAAUUAUUAUUAACUGUUUUAAAAUUAAUACAACUUAUAUAUGAAGUAUAAAUGAUCCUUAAUUAAAGAUUAAAAGAUUAAGUUACUUUAGGGAUAACAGCGUAAUUUUUUUUGAAAGUUCUUAUUAAGAAAAAAGUUUGCGACCUCGAUGUUGAAUUAAAAUAUCUACUGGGCGCAAAAGUUUAGAGAGAUGGUCUGUUCGACCUUUAAAUUUUUACAUGAUUUGAGUUCAAACCGGUGUAAGCCAGGUU
rnacentral:rRNA from 1 species